UGACCCGUUUGCACAAGCAGAAGUGGCUGCUCUUUCGCUUCCUCUUAUUGAGAUUCCUUUUUUAUUUGUCACCACGCAGCUCCAGCUGUUCAUCCGAACAUCAAGAGGUGAGAAGACGAGAAGCAAGCGGCCCCCCAAGGUUUGAGAUGCCAUCCUGCUCCUCCCUCCUGUGGUCCCUCUUCUGGUUUAUUGUGCUGAUAUUUCUGGCUUGGCCACUCAGUAUCACCUUUGGUGGCUUUUAUGGCUUCUUGUCACCUCUGACCACUUGCUGUGGGCUGGAAAAAGUCACCGAGCUGCUGCUGCAAGGGGCGAGCCUGGGACGGACAUGUGUGCAGUACAUGCUGGAGAGCAAAUCCCUCUGCUAGGCACCAGCAGAAAUGUCACAAAAUGAUCGGGGACAGCGGGCACCCGCCGCCACUCAGUCAGUGCCAAGGGGGCAGCGGCGUCACAAAAUGUGGCCACCUGUCAGAAUUUUGCAGAUAUAUUGUUCCUCAGGCACUUUGAUGAGCUGGGCAGCCUUGAGCUCCAGUGGGUAUCACUGCCCACAUUUAAUAUUGGCACAUCGGCUUGGCAUCUUAUUGAUGAUGAGAGAAAUGAAGAUGUGUUAGAGCAAUAAAAACAAUCGAAAUGA